CCUACGGGAGGCAGCAGUGGGGAAUAUUGGACAAUGGGGGCAACCCUGAUCCAGCCAUGCCGCGUGUGUGAAGAAGGCCCUCGGGUUGUAAAGCACUUUCAGUGAGGAAGAACGCCUGGUGGUUAAUACCCAUCAGGAAAGACAUCACUCACAGAAGAAGCACCGGCUAACUCCGUGCCAGCAGCCGCGGUAAUACGGAGGGUGCGAGCGUUAAUCGGAAUUACUGGGCGUAAAGCGCGCGUAGGUGGCUUGAUAAGCCGGUUGUGAAAGCCCCGGGCUCAACCUGGGAACGGCAUCCGGAACUGUCAAGCUAGAGUGCAGGAGAGGAAGGUAGAAUUCCCGGUGUAGCGGUGAAAUGCGUAGAGAUCGGGAGGAAUACCAGUGGCGAAGGCGGCCUUGUGGACUGACACUGACACUGAGGUGCGAAAGCGUGGGUAGCAAACAGGAUUAGCUACCCUAGUAGUC
rnacentral:rRNA from 1 species